rnacentral:rRNA from 1 species
UACGGGGGGAGCAAGCGUUGUUCGGAUUUACUGGGCGUAAAGGGCGCGUAGGCGGCGCAACAAGUCACUUGUGAAAUCUCCGGGCUUAACCCGGAGCGGCCAAGUGAUACUGUCGUGCUAGAAUGCGGAAGGGGCUACUGGAAUUCUCGGUGUAGCGGUGAAAUGCGUAGAUAUCGAGAGGAACACCGGUGGCGAAGGCGGCCAACUGGACAGAUACUGACGCUGAGACUCGAAAGCGUGGGGAGCAAACAGG